rnacentral:rRNA from 1 species
GCGAGUCAUUGAGAAUGUAAAACUCAAAGGCAUAAUGAAAGUGAAGAUUCGUCUUGUACGGAUUGAGGAGAGAUCAUGUCAAUACUUGGCAUUCCGUAAGUUUGCUGGGUAAAUUGUAUGCGCAUCUCCUGGACGUCUAUACCUCUGAAGGUUGGGCGUACCUAGAGCAUACACGUUGGGACCCGAAAGAUGGUGAACUAUGCCUGGUCAGAACGAAGUCAGGGGAAACCCUGAUGGAGGUUCGUAGCGAUUCUGACGUGCAAAUCGAUCGUCGGAACU